GUAGGGAAUAUUAGUAAUGGGCGAAAGCCUGAACUAGCAACGCCGCGUGUGCGAAGAAGGCCUUCGGGUUGUAAAGCACUUUUUGAGAGGAUGAGGAAGGACGGUACUCUCAGAAUAAGUCUCGGCUAACUACGUGCCAGCAGCCGCGGUAACACGUAGGAGGCGAACGUUAUCCGGAUUUACUGGGCGUAAAGCGCGUGUAGGUGGUUUGGUAAGUAGGGCGUGAAAGCUCCUGGCUCAACUGGGAGAGGCCGUUCUAAACUGCCGAACUAGAGGAUGGUAGAGGGAGGUGGGAUUCCGGGUGUAGCGGUGGGAUGCGCAGAUAUCCAGAGGAACACCAGUGGCGAAAGCGGCCUCCUGGACCACUCCUGACACUCAGACGCGAAAGCUAGGGUAGCAAACGGGAUUAGAAACCCCAGUAGUCC
rnacentral:rRNA from 1 species